GGAUGCGUGGUGUAGUGGAUGGAACAUUGGACUACAACUCUGGAGACUAGGGUUUGAUUCCCUGCUCAGCCA